rnacentral:rRNA from 1 species
CUUCUAAGGAGGGCAGCAGGCGCGCAAAUUACCCAAUCCUAAUACGGGGAGGUAGUGACAAUAAAUAACAAUGCUGGGUCUAUGACUUAGUAAUUGGAAUGAGAACAAUUUAAAACCCCUUAUCGAGUAACCAUCAGAGGGCAAGUCUGGUGCCAGCAGCCGCGGUAAUUCCAGCUCUGAUAGCGUAUAUUAAAGUUGUUGCAGUUAAAAAGCUCGUAGUUGGAUAUUAGGGUUUAUGUAUAUGAUCGGUUGUGAUAAACAAUCUUGUACUGUGUACGUUACUCUUUCCUACUGGUUACUCGACUCUGUCCUUUACUGGAUGGAGUAGUGUCGCAAGGCAUCGCUUGAUGUUAUAUUGCCUGUAAGUGUAGUUAUUGGGUAAAACUGGUAGUGAACUAUAGGAUCACAGUAUG